AAGACUAUACUUUCAGGGAUCAUUUCUAUAGUGUUUAACUAGGAAAUGUGUUUCAAAAGUGUUAAGUCUCCCAAACCACGAUGAUGAGCUUUGAUACUUCUUUCUGAGCGUGAAUCGGGUGUAAAGUAAUGAUUAAGUUCAUACGCUUUACGUCAUUGAUGAACGUUCCUCUCUAUUUCGAUAGAGGGGAGGAAGGGAGUAUGAACAGAGUGGC